AGCGAACGCUGGCGGCAGGCCUAACACAUGCAAGUCGAACGGACCCUUCGGGGUUAGUGGCGGACGGGUGAGUAACACGUGAGAACGUGCCUUUAGGUUCGGAAUAGCUCCUGGAAACGGGUGGUAAUGCCGAAUGUGCCCUUCGGGGGAAAGAUUUAUCGCCUUUAGAGCGGCCCGCGUCUGAUUAGCUAGUUGGUGAGGUAAUGGCUCACCAAGGCGACGAUCAGUAGCUGGUCUGAGAGGAUGACCAGCCACAUUGGGACUGAGACACGGCCCAAACUCCUACGGGAGGCAGCAGUGGGGAAUCUUGCGCAAUGGGCGAAAGCCUGACGCAGCCAUGCCGCGUGAAUGAUGAAGGUCUUAGGAUUGUAAAAUUCUUUCACCGGGGACGAUAAUGACGGUACCCGGAGAAGAAGCCCCGGCUAACUUCGUGCCAGCCGCCGCAGUAAGAC
rnacentral:rRNA from 1 species